rnacentral:pre_miRNA from 1 species
CUAUUAGGUUGGUGCAAAAGUAAUUGCGAUUUUUGCCAUUACUUUCAAUGGCAAAAACUGCAAUUACUUUUGCACCAACCUAAUA